GGCGAGUGAAGCGGCAAAAGCUCAAAUUUGAAAUCUGGCGUCUUCGACGUCCGAGUUGUAAUUUGAAGAAGGCAACUUUGUAGCUGGUCCUUGUCUAUGUUCCUUGGAACAGGACGUCAUAGAGGGUGAGAAUCCCGUGUGGCGAGGAUCCCAGUUAUUUGUAAAGUGCUUUCGACGAGUCGAGUUGUUUGGGAAUGCAGCUCUAAGUGGGUGGUAAAUUCCAUCUAAAGCUAAAUAUUGGCGAGAGACCGAUAGCGAACAAGUACAGUGAUGGAAAGAUGAAAAGAACUUUGAAAAGAGAGUGAAAAAGUACGUGAAAUUGUUGAAAGGGAAGGGCAUUUGAUCAGACAUGGCGUUUGCUUCGGCUUUCGCUGGGCCAGCAUCAGUUUUAGCGGUUGGAUAAAUCCUCGGGAAUGUGGCUCUGCUUCGGUAGAGUGUUAUAGCCCGUGGGAAUACAGCCAGCUGGGACUGAGGAUUGCGACUUUUGUCAAGGAUGCUGGCGUAAUGGUUAAAUGCCGCCCGU
rnacentral:rRNA from 1 species